ACCGUGUCCCCGCUCUCCGCAGCUGCAGCACAGGACGCACCGUGACGUCGUGGCCGCCUAUCGGACGCACCUGCUCAGCGCAGCGCAGGGCGCGAUGGACGAGGCUGCGCUCCGACUGCUGCUGCAAAUCCUGGAGCUGAGCUGAGCGGGACCGCGGCGCGGGGACACGAGGGGACACGAGGGGACACCGGAAUGCGGGGACACGCGGGGACACGAGGGGACACCGGAAUGCGGGGACACCGGAAUGCGGGGACACGAGGGGACACGCGGGGACACGAGGGGACACCGUGACGCGGGGGCGGAGCAUUAAAGCGGGGCAGCGCGGCGCGUCCGUGGG